AACGAACGCUGGCGGCAUGCCUAACACAUGCCAGUCGAACGAGACCUUCGGGUCUAGUGGCGCACGGGUGCGUAACGCGUGGGAACCUGCCCUUAGGUUCGGAAUAACUCCCCGAAAGGGGUGCUAAUACCGGAUAAUGUCUUCGGACCAAAGAUUUAUCGCCUUUGGAUGGGCCCGCGUUGGAUUAGCUAGUUGGUAGGGUAAAAGCCUACCAAGGCGACGAUCCAUAGCUGGUCUGAGAGGAUGAUCAGCCACACUGGGACUGAGACACGGCCCAGACUCCUACGGGAGGCAGCAGUGGGGAAUAUUGGAAAAUGGGCGAAAGCCUGAUCAAGCAAUGCCGUGUGAGUGAUGAAGGCCUUAGGGUUGUAAAGCUCUUUUACCCGGGAUGAUAAUGACAGUACCGGGAGAAUAAGCUCCGGCUAACUCCGUG
rnacentral:rRNA from 1 species